rfam:Bacillus alcalophilus ATCC 27647 = CGMCC 1.3604 strain AV1934 contig00036, whole genome shotgun sequence.
AUUCGUAUAUCGCUUAAUUCAUACGAAACGGGGGACCCAAUUUUUAAGGAUUACAGAAGAGCGUAAUCCUAGGGGUGAAUCGACUGACUUCUGCCAGCCGUAGGGCGACUCUUAUGCCCGAAUCCGACAGCUAACCUCGUCAGCGUUGAAAGAGACAAUUG